UCUGGGACAAGCCCUGGAAACGGGGUCUAAUACCGGAUAACACUUCCACUCUCCUGGGUGGAGGUUAAAAGCUCCGGCGGUGAAGGAUGAGCCCGCGGCCUAUCAGCUUGUUGGUGAGGUAAUGGCUCACCAAGGCGACGACGGGUAGCCGGCCUGAGAGGGCGACCGGCCACACUGGGACUGAGACACGGCCCAGACUCCUACGGGAGGCAGCAGUGGGGAAUAUUGCACAAUGGGCGAAAGCCUGAUGCAGCGACGCCGCGUGAGGGAUGACGGCCUUCGGGUUGUAAACCUCUUUCAGCAGGGAAGAAGCGAAAGUGACGGUACCUGCAGAAGAAGCGCCGGCUAACUACGUGCCAGCAGCCGCGGUAAUACGUAGGGCGCAAGCGUUGUCCGGAAUUAUUGGGCGUAAAGAGCUCGUAGGCGGCUUGUCACGUCGGGUGUGAAAGCCCGGGGCUUAACCCCGGGUCUGCAUUCGAUACGGGCUAGCUAGAGUGUGGUAGGGGAGAUCGGAAUUCCUGGUGUAGCGGUGAAAUGCGCAGAUAUCAGGAGGAACACCGGUGGCGAAGGCGGAUCUCUGGGCCAUUACUGACGCUGAGGAGCGAAAGCGUGGGGGAGCGAACAGGAUUAGAUACCCUGGUAGUCCACGCCGUAAACGGUGGGAACUAGGUGUUGGCGACAUUCCACGUCGUCGGUGCCGCAGCUAACGCAUUAAGUUCCCCGCCUGG
rnacentral:rRNA from 1 species